UCCCUGAUAGCUCAGUUGGUAAAGAAUCUGCCUGCAGUGCAGGAGACCCUGGUUCGAUUCCUGGGUUGGAAA
rnacentral:tRNA from 1 species